rnacentral:rRNA from 1 species
UUAGUGGCAGACGGGUGAGUAACGCGUGGGAACCUGCCCAGUAGUAGAGAAUAACUUGGGGAAACUUAAGCUAAUACUUUAUACGUCCUUCGGGAGAAAGCUUUAUGCGCUAUUGGAUGGGCCCGCGUUAGAUUAGUUUGUUGGUGAGGUAACGGCUCACCAAGGCGACGAUCUAUAGCUGGUCUGAGAGGAUGAUCAGCCACACUGGGACUGAGACACGGCCCAGACUCCUACGGGAGGCAGCAGUGGGGAAUAUUGGACAAUGGGGGCAACCCUGAUCCAGCGAUGCCGCGUGAGUGAUGAAGGCCCUAGGGUUGUAAAACUCUUUCGUCAGGGAAGAUAAUGACGGUACCUGAAGAAGAAGAUCCGGCUAACUCCGUGCCAGCAGCCGCGGUAAUACGGAGGGGUCUAGCGUUAUUCGGAAUUACUGGGCGUAAAGCGAGCGUAGGCGGAUUUGUAAGUUGGAGGUGAAAUCCCAGAGCUUAACUCUGGAACUGCCUUCAAAACUACAUUUCUUGAGUUUGGUAGAGGAGAGUGGAAUUCCUAGUGUAGAGGUGAAAUUCGUAGAUAUUAGGAGGAACACCAGUGGCGAAGGCGACUCUCUGGGCCAAUACUGACGCUGAGGUUCGAAAGCAUGGGUAGCGAACAGGAUUAGAUACCCUGGUAGUCCAUGCAGUAAACGAUGAGUGCUAGAUGUUGGGAAUUUAAAUUUCCAGUAUCGCAGUUAACGCGUUAAGCACUCCGCCUGGGAAGUACGGCCGCAAGGCUAAAACUCAAAUGAAUUGACGG